ACACAUUCAAGCCAAUCAGCAGCAGACCCUCCCUCCCAGACCCUCCCACCUCCUGGACAGCAUCCAUUGUGAAGCUGUAUUCUUAGUGAGCUAUCCAGGAAGUGGGAGGGUCUGGGAGGGAGGGUCUGCUGCUGAUUGGUCUGCUACU